rnacentral:rRNA from 1 species
UGCCAGACUCCUACGGGAGGCAGCAGUGGGGAAUAUUGCACAAUGGGCGAAAGCCUGAUGCAGCGACGCCGCGUGAGUGAAGAAGUAUUUCGGUAUGUAAAGCUCUAUCAGCAGGGAAGAAAAUGACGGUACCUGACUAAGAAGCCCCGGCUAACUACGUGCCAGCAGCCGCGGUAAUACGUAGGGGGCAAGCGUUAUCCGGAUUUACUGGGUGUAAAGGGAGCGUAGACGGUGAUGCAAGUCAGAAGUGAAAGCCCGGGGCUCAACUCCGGGACUGCUUUUGAAACUGUGUAACUGGAGUGCAGGAGAGGUAAGCGGAAUUCCUAGUGUAGCGGUGAAAUGCGUAGAUAUUAGGAGGAACACCAGUGGCGAAGGCGGCUUACUGGACUGUAACUGACGUUGAGGCUCGAAAGCGUGGGGAGCAAACAGGAUUAGAUACCCCCGUAAC